AGUUUCGUAGUCUAUUUAAGAUUUUAAAUUGCAAGUUUAAGGAUGAAGAUUUCUGAAGCUU
rnacentral:tRNA from 1 species